UAAGACGGAGGGGGCUAGCGUUGUUCGGAAUUACUGGGCGUAAAGAGCGCGUAGGCGGAUUGAUAAGUUGGGAGUGAAAGCCCGGGGCUUAACCUCGGAAUUGCUUCCAAAACUGUCAAUCUAGAGUGUGGUAGGGGGUGAUGGAAUUCCUAGUGUAGAGGUGAAAUUCUUAGAUAUUAGGAGGAACACCGGUGGCGAAGGCGGUCACCUGGGCCACAACUGACGCUGAUGCGCGAAAGCGUGGGGAGCAAACAGG
rnacentral:rRNA from 1 species